AGAAGGGGUGCCUGAGAAAUCAGGCCGCAGAGAAUAGGCACAAGCAACUGUUUAACAAAAACACAGGUCUCUGCUAAAGCGAAAGCUGAUGUAUAGGGGCUGACGCCUGCCCGGUGCUGGAAGGUUAAGGGGAACACUUAGUGAAAUAUCGCGAAGGUGUGAACUUAAGCCCCAGUAAACGGCGGCCGUAACUAUAACGGUCCUAAGGUAGCGAAAUUCCUUGUCAGGUAAGUUCUGACCCGCACGAAUGGCGUAAUGACUUGUGCACUGUCUCAACUGC
rnacentral:rRNA from 1 species